rnacentral:rRNA from 1 species
UACAGAGGGUGCGAGCGUUGUCCGGAAUCACUGGGCGUAAAGGGCGCGUAGGUGGCGCAACAAGUCAGUGGUGAAAGCUCGACGCUCAACGUCGAGUCGGCCACUGAGACUGUUGGGCUUGAGCACUGUAGAGGCUAAUGGAAUUCCGGGUGUAGCGGUGGAAUGCGUAGAGAUCCGGAAGAACACCGGUGGCGAAGGCGGUCAGCUGGGCAGUUGCUGACACUGAGGCGCGACAGCGUGGGGAGCAAACAGG